CCCUUAGAUGUCCGGGGCCGCACGCGCGCUACACUGAAGGAAUCAGCGUGGCUUUCUCCCUGACCCGAAAGGGUUGGGAAACCCGUUGAAUCUCCUUCGUGAUAGGGAUUGGGGCUUGAAAUUGUUCCCCAUGAACGAGGAAUUCCCAGUAAGCGCGAGUCAUAAGCUCGCGUUGAUUACGUCCCUGCCCUUUGUACACACCGCCCGUCGCUACUACCGAUUGAACGGUUUAGUGAGGGCCUCGGAUUGGUCUCGGCCCGCUCUUUACCGGGCGGCGCCGUUGGUCGAGAAGACGCUCGAACUUGAUCGUUUAGAGGAAGUAUAAGUCGUAACA
rnacentral:rRNA from 1 species